UACGUAGGGUGCAAGCGUUGUCCGGAAUUAUUGGGCGUAAAGAGCGUGUAGGCGGCCAUACAGGUCAGCUGUGAAAACUCGAGGCUCAACCUCGAGACGUCGGUUGAAACCGUAUGGCUAGAGUCCGGAAGAGGAGAGUGGAAUUCCCGGUGUAGCGGUGAAAUGCGCAGAUAUCGGGAAGAACACCUAUGGCGAAGGCAGCUCUCUGGGCCGACACUGACACUGAGAGACGAAAGCUAGGGGAGCGAAUGGG
rnacentral:rRNA from 1 species